CACUCCAGCUCAACAGUAGGAAUUGAUGAUCCGCGGCUCCCGCUCAUCGCACCACCAAGACCAAUAGUAUCUUCAGUCACCAACGAUGCCGCAAUUAACUCAUCCUGACAUAUGUUUGAUUACGGAAUCGUCGUCGCGCACCGCUUCAAAGGCUUCAUCGCACGACCGUCUCCUAUUCUCCUUCGCCUCUCACGCGCCUGAUGUUGGGCGACGUGGCAUUGCGGCUCUGUACCAGCGGGAUUCGGCCUUCUGGUUCUGGCGUUGGCGAAAAAGAUCAAGUAAACCUGAACUGGCGAAUCUUCAAAAGCUCGAUGAUCCUUACCAUCGACGAUUUCUCGAUUCUUAUCCGCGCGCAAGGCUCCAUCAGCGACGUGCGUUUCCGCAUGGCUCCCCGAAUCGGUACGUCGCGAUGGUCCCGACCUCAUCAAACCUUCAGGUGGAAGUUAGUAGCGUGGCAAAUGAAGCGGCGUGUACACUCAAAACAGGUGUCCUAGAUGAUAUUGCAUUUUGGACAACUUCAGAUUUUAUAUUUCUAGUUGGCAUGCAGAAAUGUUUUGUUCUUAAAAUAAUUAAAAAAUAAAACUAUUCUAACCUAUCAAAGUUUUCCUCAUUGCUUUUCCGUGUAGCAAAGUUCGUAAGUAGGGCACCAUUUGUCGCGAUAUUUCUAAUCUACAAGUAUAGAAGAAGGCACUUAGCAAUGGACAAGAACAUCGAAGAAUUUUUGCAAGCUCAUAACAACUUUUUGCCCAUAAGGUCCUCUUACUCAAAUAUAACAAGAUCGCCAGAAAUUUUAAGCACACACUAGAGGAAGGGAGGUAUGGUUACAUGUACAAGAAAUGCUUGGAAGUGGCAACGAAAUGGCCAUCAAGAUUUUAAAGCAGUCCAAGGCCCAUGGCCAAGAUUUUAUCGGUAAAGUGGCUACUAUUGGAAGAAUUUACCAUGUUAAUAUAGUGCAACACAUCGGUUUUUGCUUUGAAGGCUUGAACCAGGCUCUCGUGUAUGAUCUCAUGUCAAAUGGAUCCUUGGAUAAGCACAUCUUCACGGAGGAAGGUGGUAAGUUCCUUGGUUACAUGAAAAUAUAUGAGAUUGCUCUUGGAAUGGCGAGGGGAUUGAAUACUUACAUUGGGCAUGUGACAUUUAAAUACUACACUUGGAUGUCAAGCCUCCCAACAUUCUUUGAGACAAGAAUUUCACUUCGAAAGUUUCUGACUUUGGACUAGCGAAACUUUAUCCCACUUAAUAUAGCAUAGUCUCAUUGACUGCCACAAGAAGAACCUUGGGGUAUAUGGCAACCAAGUUGUUCUACAAAAACAUUGGUGGUGUAUCUCAUAAAUCAAAUGUCUAUAACUUUGGGAUGUUGCUUAUGGAAAUGGCAGGUAGAAGGAAGAAUGUAAAUGCUAAUGUGGAACCUUAGCCCAAAUUUAUUUUUCGUUGUUGGUGUACGACCAAGUCAAAAAAGGAAAAAGAGUUGAAAUGGAAGAAGUUGUAGAAGAGGAAAGGAAGGUGAUAAAAAAAGAUGACACUAGUUGCACUUUGGUGAAUACAAUUAAACUGUAGCGAUUGGCCUUCAAUGAGCAAAGUCCUAGAAAUGCUCGAAGGAGAUAUUAGUAAACUUCAAAUGCCUCCGAAACUGCUUAUUUACCCACGGGAGCAGCCGGUGAACAAUGACAAAGCCGAGAUGGAACUGAAAACAUUCUCAACUUCAUUAAACCUUCAUUUGUUUCGCGGAAAAUAAAUGAUUCGAAAACAUCUCCUUAAAAAUGAUCGCUUGUAUGGUUUAAAAUAAUUAGUCAAUAAAAAAUAAUUUCAUUAUUGAAAAUAAUUUAUUUCUAAACAUUUUUGUGGACAAUAUAAAUAUUUAUCAUUCAUUCAUUUUUAUAAACAAUACAAGCCAUUGUUUUGUGGAAGAUGUUUUCCAAAUAAUUCAUUUUCUGUGAAUCAAAUGGAGC